GCCCAGGAAGCUCCGCCACUGGCAGCUGGGUACCGAUUCAUCACCGACGUGUUUAAAGUAUCCGUGUGUGUGCCUCCAAAAACCGUUUGUGGAGACAGCAGAGUGCCCGAGGCAGGAAACCGCUCCGGCCUGGAGGCGCCCCUGCCCGGACUCGUGGACUGCAGCGCUGUCCCGCUCGGAAGCCGAUCCUGGGAGUCCGAGCGGGGCCGCGGGGCCUGCGUGGCAGCCGAGUCGAGGGCUUCGGGCCGCGGGGCUGUGGAGCGCCCCUUGGCGCUGGGCCGCCGGCAGCCGUGAGCGCAUCACUGCAUUUCCCUGGAGGAAUUCCUCAUCUGUUGAAUGAGGGAGUUGAGGCGGACACGCUGGGAAAUGGCUUCGAGCUCACACACUGAUUUUCGUGAGUGGAAAGAGAAGCCCUUUCUUAGGCGUCUUCCAUACCACUGCAUGUUCCAGGGUCCUCCCUGGGCUCUCUGUCUCCCACGCCACCGCGAGCACGGCCUAAGCGGGCGAGCGAAGGCGCGACGGCGCCGAGAGCCGGCUGUGGUGGGUGCCGGGCGCGUCACCGCGGGCUGGCGGGGGAGGGGACGCUGGGAAGCUCUCCAGAAAGAGGAGCCGCCACCGAGCAAAUUCCCAUCUGCCACGCACCGCAGAGCCUCGCCCUCCGCCGCCAGCAUUUUCUUUCUUUGUUCUCCUAGCCCUACAAACGCUGGGUUUCCUUUCUCAUUCGUGGACUUUUUUCCCUGGAUCCUUCUUACUGCUCCUACCCUGUGGCCGCACGUCUGGCAGAUGCGCGGCGGGCGCUGCCUGAACCCCCGAAUCCUCACAAGCCUCUGUGCAGCGGCCACGGCCCUCAGCUAGCGGCGGGGAGACUGAAGCCGCAGGGUCAGGGGUCCCGCUCUGUCGCCCAGGCUGGAGUGCAGUGGAGCGAUCACGGUUCACUGCAGCCUCCCCACCUCCGACUCCAGCGAUCCUCUCGCCUCAGCCUCCCGAGUAGCUGGGACCACAGGUGCAUGCCACCAUGCCCGGCUAAUUGUUAAUAUUUUUUUUGGUAGAGAUGGGGCCUCCCUCUGUUGCCUAGGCUGGCCUUGAACUCCUGGGCUCAAGCGAUCUUCCAGCUUCGGCCUCCCAAAGUGCUGGCAUUACAGGCGUGAGUCACCCCGCCUGGCAAGAAUUGUUGUUUUGAAACUAACUGAGGUUCUCCCAUCAAUGGAUUUAAAUUGUUACUUUUUAAUGAUUUUUUUUUAAGUAGCCAAAUACUAAAUGUAUGUAAUUUGAAUGUGGAGAGAAGAUAAUGCAUGAUUCAAAUUAUGUGGCUGAUCAUGGGUGAUACACUGGGAUAUAGUUGUAAAAUAAGUAGUUCUCCUAGGGAAAAUAUUAAAGUACAACUGUGUUGGGUUUAAUAUCAGAAAAAUGUAAUUAAAAACAUUUCCUGCCAAUAAUUUCCAAUCUGAUACUUAAACAAAACAAAACAAUAAAAGUUUCCCAUCUC
rnacentral:lncRNA from 1 species